GUCAGUCCUCACCACAACACACGCGAGACCACACAAGCCUGAUGAUGCCUUCUGUGAAGAUGAAACGUUCUAGUAAAUGAAGAAGGAAGUCUGAGAGCAUCUACGAAAUGAAGAAGUGAGAAGAGCAAAGUGCAAUGCGUGGCGGAAGUGAUAAGAUAAAAAAAAAAGUGAGAUGGCUUGGCCACGUAGUAAGAAGAAAAGACUAAAAAAACAAUUAAAAGAGCCUGGAGAAAAUCAGCUGAACGAAGAAGACCCAGAGGAAGACGGAGAGUGAGAUGGAGGGAUGGAAUUGUGGUAGAACAGCAAAGGAUAGGAGUCACAGAAGAUGCAAGGGACAAACUGGAGGAGACUCGUACAUGGCGCCAACCCCUCACUCUUGGCGGAAACGGCGAAAAGAUAACAAGGAAAAAGAUAACAAGAACACUGGGAACCCAACAGCACUCAUGGAUGACCUCUGAGCGUGACCUGCCCUCCUCCCCACUCAAACCUGACACAAGAUUCUCAGAAGACUGGAGGACUUGAGAUGAAGGUAACACUAGACACAGUGGAAGGGAAUGCAGGUCACGUGACUUCAGACCAGAAUAAGGAGAGGAGGAACAAGAGCAAAUAAAAGAAGAAAAAGAAGUAAAGAUGAUAAUGAUAAUGAACAUAGAGAAAGAGAUAAUGAAUGCAGGAUAUGAAAGAAGAGAGAGAGAGAGAGAGAGAGAGAGAGAGAGAGAGAGAGAGAGAGAGAAUACUCAACACCAAGGAAAUUCUAAAAAGAGUAUCAUUAUCUUAUUCUAUAUUUAAUAUAAUUUGGCGAAGCUUGCUCCCCCAGCUGGGAGUAAGAGGAAGGGCAUAGCUACCCACUGGCUGGUGAUUGGUUGACGGUGGCUGCUGACUGGCUGGCAGCAUCCAAGAGAGGGUGGUGAGAGGGCAGUGGGGAAUGGGUAAUUUGACAGUUUCCGUGGCCGUGUCUGUCUCGCGUUGAUGGGUGGCAGGCGGCGGGGGACAUGGUGAAUACUAAUUGCCAUUUUGCCAGGCAGGGAGGAACGACACCACCCCUGCUCCACCAACCCUUCUUUUCACUCCUGCCUCCACCCCUGCUUGCCUCCCGUGAUCGCUGGAGCGUGGUCCGACAUGCUCCGCGCGACGCUCCACACACCUCGAGGGGAAAAAGGCCGCCACCACCACAUCCUGAAUUAUUUAUUGCUCCUGACGCGGCGAUAAGUGCUGCGGUGAAUGAAGCAGUGAAGGUUUGCUCGUUUGCUUCUUCUUCUGUCCGCUGUACGUGUUCGUUAAUUAAAUGAUGAAAUUAUUGAAAGAAAAGUCUUUUCUUUUCUUUUCUUUUAAUAUCUUUCAAGAGGACGAGUUCAUU